rnacentral:rRNA from 1 species
UCUUGGUCAUUUAGAGGAAGUAAAAGUCGUAACAAGGUUUGCUAAGCAACAGUCCUUCUGUAGCAGAGCUUAACGGAGACCUUGCACCCAGAGGGGGGAGGCGACUAUAAACAAGUCCCAGUGCAAGUCAGUACCGCUGCAACACAAUCGAAUUGCGGGGACGCUUUAAAGCUUAGUGGUACCAACCUCCGGACGCCGGAGGGGGCGGGCAAUGCCCGAGGUUAGAACCUACCGAGUGUACAAUAAGCAAUCCGCAGCGGUCCGUUUGGACCGUCCACAGACUAAUGGUUGUGGGGAGCCCAGCUCCUUAAGAUAUAGUCGGGCCCGGUGAGUAUUACCGGGGGUUCUGCGUCCGUAGGUGAACCUGCGGAAGGAUCAUUACAGUGAGGCCGUCGAACACCCGUAAAACGGUGGUUAGACGGCUUACACCCACCGUGUUUACAUACUAUUGUUGCUUUGGCGGGCCGUGGCCUCCACUGCGGCUUUGCUCGUGUGUGCCCGCCAGAGGACCAAACUCUGAAUGUUAGUGAGUCUGAGUACUAUCUAAUAGUUAAAACUUUCAACAACGGAUCUCUUGGUCUGGCAUCGAUGAAGAACGCAGCGAAAUGCGAUAAGUAAUGUGAAUUGCGAAUUCAGUGAAUCAUCGAAUCUUUGAACGCACAUUGCGCCCUGUGGUAUCCGCAGGGCAUGCCUGUUCGAGCGUCAUUUAACCACUCACGCCUGGCGGGUAUUGGGGCACGCGGUCUCGCGGCCCUCAAAAUUAGUGGCGGCGCCGUGGGCUCUAAGCGUAGUACAUACUCCCGCUAUAGAGUUCCCCCGGUGGCCGCCAGAACCCCCCAAUUUCUUACAGGUUGACCUCGGAUCARGUAGGGAACCCGCUGAACUUAAGCAUAUCAAUAAGCGGAGGA